UUCCCGCGUCCAAGCCUUCCCAGUUUCCCUUUUGCCGCCUCGCCUCACGCCUUGCUCCGAGCGAGUCGCUCGACGUCAGACGCCUUUCCCUCUUGUAGCCUCGCCUCUCGCCUCGCUCGACGUCCUCUCGCAGCCUCGCCUCACGCCUCGCCUCACGGCUCGCGGCCUCACCUCACACCUUGCUCUGAGCGAGUCGCUCGACGUUGAUCGCCUUUUCCUCUUGCGGCCUCGCCUCUCGCCUUGCUCGACGUCCUCUCGCGGCCUCGCCUUAGGUCUCCCUUUCUGCCUCGCGGCCUCGCCUUCCGCCUCGCGGCCUCGCCUCAAAGUUCCGCCAAAUUCACUAUGAUGAUGCAGUCACACAUUACUUGAUGAAGAACAAGUUGGAGGUGAAGAGACUACGGUGGAAGAUGAUGGAUUUUUGAAGGCCUUCAAGGGUUUUUACUUGACGUUAAACCUAGAAGAUUACGUCGGGAAAUUCUUUCUGGAUGAGUUUGUUCAAGUAGGCUAACAAAAUAUCAAGCUUCUUAGAUUGUCUGUCAAUCACAAAGCGAGGAACAAAUCUUGUAUAUUUCACGAGAUUCAUCAUUACCUCACUUGACCCUCAAUCUCAAACGAACAGCCCUUUCCCGAUUUCCUAUAAUCAGCGAUCUAUUUACAUGUCAAUGGAAGUGGAUCAAUCCAAUGAUGCUAUGAAUCCAAUAAUGGACUCACUAGAACAUGAAAGUGAAGAAAACCUCGAAGAAGCAUCCGACACAAACAAGGUAUCUAAUGCUCAUCCUGCUAGUUCUGGAAAACGAACAUCAGCAGCCUGGCUUCAUUUUCGUAAUGGCAAAACUGAGAAUGGGAAAACCGAGAAGAUUUGCAAUUAUUGUGGGGUUAUAUAUUGGUACUGUGUUGAUAACGGUACUUCUACUAUGUCGAAGCACUUGAAAAAAUGCAAUAAGUAUCCUCGCAACAUAGAUAAGAAGCAAAGAUUUUUUACCCCACGUAGAGUGGAUGGGACUAAAAUGACAAUGGGGCAGACUAGUACUGGUAGUACAAAUGCCUUAUCGACAUGGAAAUUUGA